rnacentral:rRNA from 1 species
UUUAUCUGGUAAAGCGAAUGAUGAGAGGUCUUGGGGCCGAAACGAUCUCAACCUAUUCUCAAACUUUAAAUGGGUAAGAAGCCCGGCUCGCUGGCUUGGAGCCGUGGCAUGGAAUGUGAGCCGCCCAGUGGGCCACUUUUGGUAAGCAGAACUGGCGCUGCGGGAUGAACCGAACGCCGGGUUAAGGCGCCCGAUGCCGACGCUCAUCGGACCCCAGAAAAGGUGUUGGUUGAUAUAGANAGCAGGACGGUGGCCAUG